rnacentral:rRNA from 1 species
UACGUAGGGUGCAAGCGUUGUCCGGAAUUAUUGGGCGUAAAGAGCUCGUAGGCGGUUUGUCGCGUCUGCUGUGAAAACCCGAGGCUCAACCUCGGGCCUGCAGUGGGUACGGGCAGACUAGAGUGCGGUAGGGGAGAUUGGAAUUCCUGGUGUAGCGGUGGAAUGCGCAGAUAUCAGGAGGAACACCGGUGGCGAAGGCGGGUCUCUGGGCCAUUACUGACGCUGAGGAGCGAAAGCGUGGGGAGCGAGCAGG